GAUGAACGCUGGCGGCGUGCCUAAUACAUGCAAGUCGAGCGAACGGACGAGAAGCUUGCUUCUCUGAUGUUAGCGGCGGACGGGUGAGUAACACGCGGAUAACCUACCUAUAAGACUGGGAUAACUUCGGGAAGCCGGAGCUAAUACCGGAUAAUAUUUUGAACCGCAUGGUUCAAAAGUGAAAGACGGUCUUGCUGUCACUUAUAGAUGGAUCCGCGCUGCAUUAGCUAGUUGGUAAGGUAACGGCUUACCAAGGCAACGAUGCAUAGCCGACCUGAGAGGGUGAUCGGCCACACUGGAACUGAGACACGGUCCAGACUCCUACGGGAGGCAGCAGUAGGGAAUCUUCCGCAAUGGGCGAAAGCCUGACGGAGCAACGCCGCGUGAGUGAUGAAGGUCUUCGGAUCGUAAAACUCUGUUAUUAGGGAAGAACAUAUGUGUAAGUAACUGUGCACAUCUUGACGGUACCUAAUCAGAAAGCCACGGCUAACUACGUG
rnacentral:rRNA from 1 species